ensembl:lncRNA
GGUGGAGGGGGAGGACUAUAGGUGGAGGGAGGGACUAUAGGUGGAGGGAGGGAGGACUAUAGGUGGAGGUAGGACUAUAGGUGGAGAAAGAGGGGGACUAAAGGUGGAGGGAGGACUAUAGGUGGAGGGAGGGACUAUAGGUGGAGGGAGGGACUAUAGGUGGAGGGAGGGAGGACUAUAGGUGGAGGGAGGGAGGACUAUAGGUGGAGGGAGGGAGGGGACUCUAUAGGUGGAGGGAGGGGACUCUAUAGGUGGAGGGAGGGGUAUAGUUGUAUUCCAGAAACAGUGAACAUUUGUCUACGUCCUCAUAAACAUUAUUGGUUAAGUUCUGUUUUU